ensembl:lncRNA
UCAUUCUGGGAGUCAGUCUGAUUGAAAACACUUCAGAUUUUUCUACACUGAUCAUCAGCACACUGCAGUCAUGACAGAAGUUGCAGGUGUAUGUGGAGUUGUAGCCUGGACCAAAGUGAAGCCGGUCACUCUAGAAGUGAUAAAGAUUUGCAUUGAGGUGAGGCCACAGAUAGAGAAGAUGAAAGAAGAUAAUUGGAAGAUUUACAUUCCUGUGGUCUACUCUCAGAUUGUGAAUGGAAUGAACUAUGUGGUCAAGGUGUUGGUUGAUGAACAUGGGGAUGGAGUGUGUGUUCAUGCAAUGAUAAAACUUUCCUGUAAUGGAGGGGAACUGAGUGUGACUGGAAUCCAGUUCCAUAAAAAGUUUGAUGACCCACUGAUCCACUUCUGAAAACUUACAGAAAUAGUCUGUCUUUAUUUAAUAACAGACACAUGUAAUGAGAGGAACUAGUGAAAUAGUUUCAAUCCUCAAUAUUAAACUGUAUUCAAGUCCUCCAGUGUCAGUGUGUUUACUGAAAAAUAUCAAACUCACUUCACAAAUGUUUUACACUG